UCGGGAUAGUGAUGGCAAGCCUCCUCCCAA
rnacentral:piRNA from 1 species